rnacentral:rRNA from 1 species
UACGUAGGGUGCAAGCGUUGUCCGGAAUUAUUGGGCGUAAAGAGCGUGUAGGCGGCCCGAUUAGUCCGCUGUGAAAGUCCAGGGCUCAACCCUGGAAUGCCGGUGGAUACUGUCGGGCUAGAGUCCGGAAGGGGCGAGUGGAAUUCCAGGUGUAGCGGUGAAAUGCGUAGAUAUCUGGAGGAACACCGGUGGCGAAGGCGGCA